UGUUUGGCUCAUCCUGAAGGGGUUUAUUUUGUCAUGCAGUGUUGUUAUUGUUAUAUGAACUAAAACUAUUAAAAAUCAUUUUCAUUAAUAUAAAUAUUAGAUUAAAACGUUAAAUCUAAACUUAACAAACUCAAACAAAACUUAGAAAUAUUUUAAACUGAAAUAAAAUGUUGAAUUGCUAAAACUACAAUAACUGAAAAUAAAUAAAUACUAAUUAUAAAUAAAUUAAAUGUUAAUAAACUUACUGACAAAAUCACAUAACUAAAUUAUUAAAACUAAAAUUUAGUCAAAUUGAAAAUCAGUUCAAUACAUUCAUUCUAUAAUAGCAUGUAAAUAAUUAUAAAAUAACACGCUUUUAUCAUCCCGAAGGGGUUUAUUUCAACAUUUGACUGAACAUUAUUCCAUGGAUACUUAUUCAUUUAUUAAAAUGCAUGAAAAAGAAAAAUGAGGUGUGCAUGGUUUUACAUAAUUGCAGAAAAUCAUGAUGUUAAUAAUAUGUUCACGUAUAGUUGCGUCCAGCAGAUUGGAGUCAGGUCUGUCAGGUCAUGCGAUGGUUUGUGUUCGUUAGCUGUGCUGCAGUGUUGAUGAUGAUGAUGAUGAUGAUGAUGAUGAUGUUGAUGAUGUUGAUGGUGAUGAUGAUGAUGAUGAUGGUGAUGAUGAUGAAGAUGAUGAUGAUGAUGAUGAUGUUGAUGAUGAUGAUGAUGAUGAUGAUGGUGAUGAAGAUGAUGUUGAUGAUGAUGAUGAUGAAGAUGGUGAUGAUGGUGAUGGUGAUGAUGAUUAAAGAUGAUGUUGUAGAUGAUGUUGAUGGUGAUGAUGGUGAUGGUGAUGGUGAUGAUGAUGAUGGUGAUGAUGAAGAUGAUGAUGUUGAUGAUGUUGAUGGUGAUGAUGGUGAUGGUGAUGAUGAUGAUGAUGAUGGUGAUGAUGAUGGUGAUGUUGAUGAUGAUGAUGAUGAUGGUGAUGAUGAUGAUGAUGAUGGUGAUGAUGAUGGUGAUGAUGAUGAUGAUGAAGAUGGUGAUGAUGGUGAUGAUGAUGAAGGUGAUGAUGAUGAUGAUGAUGGUGAUGAUGAUGAUGAUGAUGAUGAUGAUGAUGAUGAUGAUGAUGAUGAUGAUGAUGAUGAUGAUGAUGAUGAUGAUGAUGAUGAUGAUGAUGAUGAUGGUGAUGAUGGUGAUGAUGAUGAUGAUGAAGAUGAUGAUGAUGUUGAUGAUGAUGAUGAUGAAGAUGAUGAUGAUGUUGAUGAUGAUGAUGAUGGUGAUGAUGGUGAUGAUGAUGGUGAUGAUGAUGAUGAUGGUGAUGAUGAUGAUGAUGAAGAGUUGAUGAUGAUGUUGAUGUUGAUGUUGAUGUUGAUGUUGAUGAUGAUGAUGAUGUUGAUGAUGAUGAUGGUGGUGGUGGUCUUCUUCACAGGACGCUCUGAAGCCAGCGGGCAGCAGCACCGUCCCCAGCUCCUCCAGCAGCCCGUCCUUCCCCAUCACCAGCUACCUGCCACCCGCCGCCAACACAGCCAAGAGCACCGGAGUCAUGCAGCUGCCCGCGGGGUUCACCUUCAUGGCAGGCUCUCCGUUUGCUCCCGGGACUCCUGCGAUUCCUCUCGGUCAGAGCAUCACUGCGUCAUCGUCCGGCGCGUCUCAGUCACCGCAGGGUCAGCAGGCCGUGUUUCGUCUGCCAGCCACCGUCUCGCUCACCGGUGCGUCUCCAGCACACCCCUCACUAGUGCACACUGCUCAGGGUUCACCGUCAGACCUCGGUCACAUCAUGGUCCUCCAGCUGUCAUAGCCACACUUCAGGGGUUUGUGUGACCUCACAUUUCCAGCCACAUAUUUUCAUGCAAAUUUUGGCAUAUUGCGUAAACAACACUGAUAUGCAAAAUGCACGUGAAAUCUUACAAUGUGCAUUAAAAAAAUAUUUUUACUGAUGCACAACAAAAACUACUUUAACUUCAUUAAGUGUUAAAAUAAUUCUAUAAAACUAUAUAUACAUUAAAAAAAAAAACUAAUAAAAAUGACAAAACAACAAAAUUACUAAAAAUU
ensembl:lncRNA